UUAAUAUGGCAGAUAAGUGCAAUAGAUUUAAACUCUAUAUAUAAAGUUUUUAAACCUUUUAUUAAA
rnacentral:tRNA from 1 species